GACAGAAGCAGGGCUGAGGGGAUUCAAGUGCUCAAACAGCCCAGGCGUAUGGGUCACCUGGCACCUCUGGAGGAGGGACAUGGCCCACAGAUGUCACCGUUUUUAAGAGGGCCUGCCCUGAUCUCGCCUAUGUCAAGGGUGACUAGAAGAAGGACGAAUCGGUCCUCUGUGUAGCUGUUUGCAAACGUGAAGAGAGGACAAGGAAAACUACUGGAUGAACACGGUUGUCUUGGGAAGAGACCUGCAGGAAGCUGCCCCAGCAGAGGUAAGCCCGGUACUAACAGCUUGAUUCUCAUAAAAAGGUGGCAAUAAUCGUGAAAGUGUGAGAAGGAAUGUGGCGUUAUCCAUUUAAUCCCAGAACUGAGGCUGGGAGUUGUCUCACAGUGACGUGGGCCAGGCCUCUCCCCAGCAAGGGCGAUUAAAGUGAAACCACUUAGGACAUUUGGUCUAUUUCAGAUCCCUGCCGGUAACCUUUUCCUUCUUUUCACCAACUCUUUUCAAACUUAGGUUUUUUUUUCCCUUCUGUCUUUGUAUUUUCCCGUAACAUAGCCCUCGGGGAUGUUUACUUAGAUUUCCCUGUUGGGGUUCAUGCACUGCCCUGGUCUGUGCCAUGAUCUUGUUUUUGAAGGGACUCUUGCAACUUCCCAACCCAAUGACAAGCACUCAAUAGGCAUCAAAUGGUUGCUCGUCCAUGAAGACAUGAGGUUCUCUUUCUCUUCCAAAUCGGGGGAAAUAAUCAUGAGGAAUAGCUCAUGACACGACACACUAUUUCAUUUUUGUUCAGCCUGAGGGUCCGCCCUGGAAGAUCCUCUUUACAACAUAAACAAUGUGAUGACCAUGGAAUUCAGCAGCCAACUUUGACGGUGGCCAUGACUGACGGGCACAGACAUUUCUCUGUUCCUUCUCAGCAGGCCACGGGUUUCAGUAACGCCAGAGGCUGAGAGAGGAAUUGGUCGACGGAGGCAGAAAUCGUCACAUACGAGGAAAGCUUGACUGCAAAACAUCAAUUCAUCCAGCAACCACUCACCAUCCACUGGUAAGGCCAUGUCCUUCCAUUCUGGCCAGAGUUCCGCAUCUGUGCCUCAGUGCUGGGGCUGAUCUGACAGCCUGUGUCGCACACACACAGGUUGGGGGAGAGAUAGUUGAGACCAAAACGUUUGUGAGAUCAAAGCCAUUGAGAUGCUGUCACACGUUCCCAGGGGCACGGACAGGGAACUCACAGUCACUCCCGGAGGGAAGCGAGUACCAGCUUGAAGCAGCGUGGUGUGGGGAGGUCCUCCUGCCUGGGUGCUGCUGAGGCAGAGAAGGAGGAGGCUGUUCUCACUGAAGGCGCCUGCACAUCUCCUCAGCAGAGACGGGGUACAGACGGGCUUUGGAGAAGGGUGGUCCCUCCGCAGGAUGCGUGGGAGAGGGAGGAUGCCCGGUAACAAACAGAGCUCCUGGCAAGGGUGGGCUGCGGCCCAGCCCAGAAGAGCUCCUCCUCCCUCCAGGAACCUGGAUCUUGUCGCCCCGGGAGAACAUGUUCCCUGCCUUCAUCCCACGGAGCAGGCUUCGUGCAGAAGCUCAUCCUGUUCACAGCUCUAACUACCAAAGGCUGGGAAUCUACAAGCUGAAUCUUCAACCCAAACUCACCUCCUGAAUGCCCAUCACUGUUGCCUUCUGUCACCGGCCUUCGGACACCCCAGGAGCACCUCAGACGCACCCGAGCACAAACUCCAUGUCUCUCCUGUGAAGUUUCUCAGAGCCCCUGCCGUGGCCAAUGCUCCUGGCCACUCCACUGUGAAAUCCACAGCAUCUGUCACUCUUCUGCUCCCUCCUGCUCUUGUCUCCAAACCCAACUAACCCAGCCACCUGCAAAUCUCUCCCGCCCUCCCGGCCACCCCAAGCAGCCACUGGGGACCAUCCUCAACCUCCCCAUCCAGUCUUUUCCCUGGGCCCGAAGCAUGUUCCUAAAAUGCAGACACGUCACAUCACUCCAGUUCAAAACCUUUCAGUAGCAUUUGUUAAUGGCCACUCAUUUAUUCCACAAAAAAUUACUUAAUCUUGGGCUGGGCAUGGUGGCU
rnacentral:lncRNA from 1 species